rnacentral:tRNA from 1 species
GUAAAUAUAGUUUAUUAAAACACUAGACUGUGACUCUAGAAAAAGAAACGACCAGUUUCUUGUCUACC